rnacentral:rRNA from 2 species
ACUCCGGUUGAUCCUGCCGGACCCGACCGCUAUCGGGGUAGGGCUAAGCCAUGGGAGUCGAACGCCCCGCCGCUGCGGGGCGUGGCGGACGGCUGAGUAACACGUGGCUAACCUACCCUCGGGACGGGGAUAACC